UACGAAGGGGGCUAGCGUUGCUCGGAAUUACUGGGCGUAAAGCGCACGUAGGCGGCUUUCUAAGUCGGGGGUGAAAUCCUGGAGCUCAACUCCAGAACUGCCUUCGAUACUGGAGAGCUCGAGUCCGGGAGAGGUGAGUGGAACUGCGAGUGUAGAGGUGAAAUUCGUAGAUAUUCGCAAGAACACCGGUGGCGAAGGCGGCAUCCUGGACCGACACUGACACUGAGGAGCGAAAGCCAGGGGAGCAAACGGG
rnacentral:rRNA from 1 species